AGCUGCCCCUGCUGCUUUCCUCCAUGCCAUGUUCUGGUCUCACUUUCCUGGCUUUUUAUUUUAUAUUUUUUUAAACUCCAGUAUCACUUAAAUUUCAGGCCAAGCUGCAGCUCUGGAAUGGAGCACAUUCAGCCAUCAAUUUUCAGCUCCUCACGUAAGAAGAGGCUGAAUCACAAACUGCUGCUGGGUUGGGAGAUGAAAUGGGAAGGAUCCAGAGCAGGUUAUUCUGUUGAGUCUUGAGUGGGAACAAGGACACCAUCGCUCUGCUCCUGAAAAUUAUUCCUUAAAGACAUUUGAAUCUGGACUGUCUUGUUGUAACACCUCAGAAUGAAGCACCAGGAGCUGUGUUGCUGCUCCUUCUGUUCGUAGCAGGUGGCAUCUCUGGAUGGGGAAUUGGGCUCCUUGUGUCUGAGCCAACAAGGAGGUGCCAAGAGCUGCCUGGAGGAGCAAAGGCUCCUCCUAAGAGAAGGUGUGAGCCGUCCUGGGCAGUCACUGAAGAGCUGGGGGUAGAUGUCAGCGAUGCUGCACUGAUGUCCACGCAGAAGGGGAAGGAGCUCUGCACAGAACUUAAGGACAGAAUAUUCUAAUUUGGGUACCAUAAAUUUUAUACCCAUGAAUAAGCAUGUCCUGGUUUUUCAGAGGUGCUGAACACUUAUAAUUCUAUUGACUCCAGUGGAAACUGGAAUGAGAGCGGUGCAUGCUUUGGAUAAAUCAUGUUAUGUAACAGAAAAAUGAUGGUAAUUUAUGGCUGAGAAUUUUUCAUCACGCCACUGAGCUCUGUUGUUUGCAGUUGGAAAGAAUGAAAAGUUUGAGGAAUUAUGCUGAGAUUCUCAAAUCCCCUGCCCUGCUGCCUCCCCAGCAGGGCAGGGGGUGAGCACAGAGCAAACCCAGGGCUGACAGCACCGUUCUUCACUCCCUGGAGGUCAGGGCUGCUCCAAACCAUCCCUCCUGCCCUGGCAGGACAACGUGAGCAGGACUUUGGUGCCCUCCCAGCACUGCUGCUUGCUUUCAGUGCACAGAACAUCAAGUGCGAAUUAAAAAUAGCAAUAAAAAUGAAGUGAGGAAAGCAAUCAGAACACCUAAAAUCCAGCACUAUCUUUAAUCACAAGUGGAAAAAAAAUGUAUCGAGUGUUGUUUGAUCACAAUCUAAACACAGCCUAAACAACCCUUUGAAUUUGUAAAUGACAUGCAAUAGAGGUAUUUUUAGCUCAUGUUGCUCAGAUCUUGAGGAGGAUUUUUUGUAUGUUUUAGCUUAUCACAUUUCUUGCAUAAUAAGCUCUGGUUUUGCACAGCAGUUUAAUUUUCUGUGAGCCUA